AGCUUGCUCCUUGAUUCAGCGGCGGACGGGUGAGUAAUGCCUAGGAAUCUGCCUGGUAGUGGGGGACAACGUUUCGAAAGGAACGCUAAUACCGCAUACGUCCUACGGGAGAAAGCAGGGGACCUUCGGGCCUUGCGCUAUCAGAUGAGCCUAGGUCGGAUUAGCUUGUUGGUGAGGUAAUGGCUCACCAAGGCGACGAUCCGUAACUGGUCUGAGAGGAUGAUCAGUCACACUGGAACUGAGACACGGUCCAGACUCCUACGGGAGGCAGCAGUGGGGAAUAUUGGACAAUGGGCGAAAGCCUGAUCCAGCCAUGCCGCGUGUGUGAAGAAGGUCUUCGGAUUGUAAAGCACUUUAAGUUGGGAGGAAGGGCAGUAAGUUAAUACCUUGCUGUUUUGACGUUACCGACAGAAUAAGCACCGGCUAACUCUGUGCCAGCAGCCGCGGUAAUACAGAGGGUGCAAGCGUUAAUCGGAAUUACUGGGCGUAAAGCGCGCGUAGGUGGUUUGUUAAGUUGGAUGUGAAAGCCCCGGGCUCAACCUGGGAACUGCAUCCAAAACUGGCAAGCUAGAGUACGGUAGAGGGUGGUGGAAUUUCCUGUGUAGCGGUGAAAUGCGUAGAUAUAGGAAGGAACACCAGUGGCGAAGGCGACCACCUGGACUGAUACUGACACUGAGGUGCGAAAGCGUGGGGAGCAAACAGGAUUAGAUACCC
rnacentral:rRNA from 1 species